GAAGAAAAAAGGGCAAAUCAAGCUAAAGGGGAAGAACUGGAAGCUCAUGUCACUGAUUCACGCAAGGAAAGAGGAGUCCAUGUUGCCAGAGAUUUAAUCGAGUUGAAUUUGUAAUUAUGUUGAAAUUGUUUUAACAAUUUGUGAGUUGAUUGAGGGAGAAAGUUGGGGGGAAAUUUCUUGAAUAAGUGUGGCGCAAUCUCACCAUAGAUAAAGGGAGAAGGGAAUUAUAUUAUUUCAUUCAUCCAUACUCUCUGAAAGAAAACUGGGAGUGAUCUCAGGCUUUUUGAAUGCCUGGUGUCAUCUCUCUUUUCCAUAUUACAUUGUUAAUUUCCUCUACAGUAUUAUUACUAUUAUCCAAUAUCAUAUCAUUUACAAUUCCACUAGUCACUGAAUUUCUGUUGAAAUACCUACAAUGACAAUUGCAUUCCUCAAUUCUGUAUUCCGGGUGGAAGCCUCCUAAUGUCAUAUGUGAAGUCAACUCAGUCAUUAUGCAAAAGUGGUAACAGAGGUCUUCUGUAAGAUACUGAUAUGGAUCAAAAAGGGACAAGGUCAAUAGAUUGUGGCCAAGGCCCCUACCAUAAAAUUCUAACACAAGUAUGCAUACAUCAAAAGAAAAGCAUUAGCAGCAGCAGCCCUAUGAACAAAGAGUUCUCCAAGACACUGAGAUGGAUCAAACAAGGACUAGGUUAACAGAUUGCGGCUGAGGCGAUAACAUAAAUAUUAACUAGUAUGAAUACAUGACAAGGGAAGCAGUAGCACCCAUACAAAACAUCCUGCAUAUUAUUACACCACAUCAAGUAUUAUCCCAAAGUCUAUUACCCUGCAUGGUGAAAAAAUUUUUCACGACUCAAAUUGCAAUUUUAAAAAGAAACUUCACAAGUCACAAACUCUAUGCACAUUUGCAUUUUUUAUUGUCCAAAACUAGAGAACUGUCUGUUAAUUAUAGCUUCUGGCAUCAAAGCUUCUUCUGAU
rnacentral:lncRNA from 1 species